UUUAGCAUAAUGUCCUUAAGAUUCAUCCAUGUUGUUGCAAAUGGCAGAAUUUCCCUUUUCUCAUGGCUGAAUAAUAUUUCAUCGUAUAUGUAAUAUCCCAGUUUCCAUUCAUCAGUGGACACUUAGGAUAUUUCUAUGUCUGGGCUAUUACAAAUAACGCUGCAGUAAACAUGGGCGCACUUAUCUUUUGAAGUUAGGCAUUGUGUUUUUUUCAGAUAAACACCCAGAAGUGGAAUUGCGAGAUCACAUGGUAGUUCUAUUUUAAUUUUUUGAGGAACCUUCAUACUAUUUUUCACAGCAGCUGCACCACUGCAACAGUGUGCCAAGGGUUCCCUUUUCUCCACAGCCCUGCCAACAUUUGCUAUUUUUUAUCUUUUUGAUAAUGGUGAAAACCGUUGUGAAGUGAUAUCUCAUUGUGGUUUGAUUUGCAGAUGCCUGGUAAUUAAGGAUAUUGAGCAUCUUUUCAUGUACCUCUUGGCCAGUUUUCUUUGGAAAAAAUGUCUAUUCAGUUCUUCUGUCCAUUUUUUUUUUUUUCCCCAUCAGAUUGUUUGUGUUUUGGCUAUUGAGUUAUAUGAGUUCUUCAUGUAUUUUGGAUAUUAACCCCUUAUCAGAUACAUGAUUUGUAAGUCAUUUAUAAAUCAUUUUCUUCUAUUCAGUAUGUUGCCUUUUCACUUUAUUGAUGAUUUCCUUUGCUGUGCAGAAGCUUUUUGACUUGAUGUAGUCCCACUUGUUUAUUUUUUAAUUUUGUUGCCUUUGCUUGUAAUGUCAAAUCUAAAAAGUCUGAAACCCAUGUUAAGGAGCUUACCGCCUAUGUUUUCUUCUAGGAGUUUUAUGGUUAUUCUUUCAAAGUUUUGACUGUUUAACUCCCUCCUCUUUCAUUUAUCAUCCAUACUCACUCCUAUAGAAAAAUUCUGCUUAAACACUAAUUUUGCUCCUGGUGCAAGGAGGAAGAAAAGAUGAGAGGGAAGGAAGGAAGCUCUAGUGGGAUUCAAGCUAAAGGCCAUUCUUUCUCUAGAGUGAACUGCCAGGUACUUUCACUUCCAGCACUGAGGCCAGAUUCUGCUUUUCUCAGGCCUCUGUCUAGCCUGUGCUCAUAACUGGGCCUUCCUCUUAGGGCUGAAAUAGGAGCAUUUCUGGGACUGGUUCUGGGUGGUCUUGUGAGCCUCAGAGCUCAGCUGUAGAAGUCUGGGGCUUUUUGUAACCCUGUUUUUGUGUUAGGCAGCCUGAUGCUAUGGCUUAGAUGAACAGUAAGUAAGGAGCCACCGGUUGACUGAGGUUGCAGAAUAGCGAAGGACAGGAACGAUGGUCUGGGAUUUAUCUGCAUUGUGGGAGAGAGAAAGGGACUGUAUUUCUCUCUUUGAAGACAUAAGUGGCCAGUUAGCUUUAGUUUGCAGAUACAUCCUGGCUAUUGCUUUAGGACCUACUAUGAUUAAAAUAUCUAUUCCAUGUAUUCAAAAUAUGUGGUAUUGAGCACGUUUUACAUACCAAGCACUGCUGUAGGCACAGGUGAUGACAAAACCGGAAGAUGCCCACUCCUCUCAUGCCUAUGUUCUCAUGGGUGUGGGUGGAGCCGGACAGAAAAUUUUUUAAAAAUAAAAUUUUAGGAAUGAAUUUAUUUAUUUUUAGGUUGGAAUAAGUGCUCUGAAGGAAAUAAAUGGGGUGACAUGAUAAAGAUAUGUGGGCAGAGUGUGGGAGGUUUUGCCAUCCAGCUUACUCUGCUAGGCUAGCCAAGUAAUUUAGGUUCAAGAAUGGGUCGGAAAUAUGACUUGCCUUGGUUUAAGUUUCCAGGUAACCAGAUAUAAAUGAGGCCACAGGAGGGGAGACAUGGUUUCCAGAAUUGGGUGGCGUGGCUUAAGACCCUUCGUCUUCCAAUUAUUUGAGCCCCAGGAAACAUACUUACCCUCUUUUGGGCUGUCAUUCCACUGUCGGGGUUUGCGCCACCCAAACGCCUGGGUUCCAGGUCUUCACUUUGGGGCUGUACCAGCCCUGGGGCAACUUGCAACUCUCUGCAAGGCCCUGGAUCUGUGGCCAAGAUUGCUGUAAGGCAUCAGGGAAUGUUUCUCUAAAGGGGUGACAUUUGUGGCAAAACUUGAGAAUAACAAGGAGGCAGAUCAUAGCAUUGCAGGAAAAGGCACAGCCAGUUCUAAAGCCCUGAAGCAUGACGAGCUUGGUGUGAUAAGGAACAAAAGGAAACAGGAUAGUGAUCUGGGGAGUGGGGAGUAUCAGAUAUGAUUGUAGAGGUUGGCUGGGCCAUGUUGGGAGUCUUUUAAACCAUGGUAGGAAUUUGGAUUUUCUUCUAGUACAAUGGAAAGCCAUUUUUUUAAAAAUAUAUGUAUAUAUAUUUAAUGGCUGUACCUGUGGCACAUGGAUGUUUCCCAGGCCAGGGAUCAAAUCUGAGCCGCAGCCAGGGCAACACCAAAUCCUUUAACCCACUGUGUUGGGGAUCAAACCCACGCUUCUGCAUUGACCUGAGCCGCUGCAGUCAGAUUCUUAACCCACGGUGCCACAGUGGGAACUCUGGAAAGCCACUGUUUUAACUCACUGUCCAUGAACUUGUAUAGAAGAAAGCUACAGGAGUUACCGUCGUGGCGCAGUGGUUAAUGAAUCCAACUAGGAACCAUGAGGUUGCGGGUUCGGUCCCUGCCCUUGCUCAGUGGGUUAACAAUCCGGCGUUGCCGUGAGCUGUGGUGUAGGUUGCAGACGCGGCUCGGAUCCGCGUUGCUGUGGCUCUGGCGUAGGCCGGUGGCUACAGCUCCGAUUCGACCCUAGCCUUGGAACCUCCAUAUGCCGCGGAGCGGCCCAAGA
rnacentral:lncRNA from 9 species